rnacentral:rRNA from 1 species
GAGUAACGCGUGAGAAUCUACCCUAAAGUGGAGAAUACCUUCGAGAAAUCGAAGUUAAUACUGCAUACGUCCCUUCGGGGAGAAAGAUGGCUUAUUUUAGCUGUCGCUUAAGGAUGAGCUUGCGUGCUAUUAGCUAGUUGGUAGGGUAAUGGCCUACCAAGGCGAUGAUGGCUAGUCGGCCUGAGAGGGUGUACGACCACACUGGAACUUAGACACGGUCCAGACUCC